GCCGGCAUUGUGUAGUUGGUAGCAUCUCUGACCGAAAAUCAGAGGGUUGCGGGUUCGAAUCCCGCUGCUGGUG